rnacentral:tRNA from 1 species
GCGGGGGUGCCUGAGUCUGGACUAAAGGGCAGGAGGUUAUGCCUGCCAAACUUAAGAUCCUGUGCGCUUAGGCGCUACGUGGGUUCAAAUCCCUCCCCCCGCA